rnacentral:rRNA from 1 species
GACGAACGCUGGCGGCGUGCUUAACACAUGCAAGUCGAACGGAAAGGCCCUGCUUUUGUGGGGUGCUCGAGUGGCGAACGGGUGAGUAACACGUGAGUAACCUGCCCUUGACUUUGGGAUAACUUCAGGAAACUGGGGCUAAUACCGGAUAGGAGCUCCUGCUGCAUGGUGGGGGUUGGAAAGUUUCGGCGGUUGGGGAUGGACUCGCGGCUUAUCAGCUUGUUGGUGGGGUAGUGGCUUACCAAGGCUUUGACGGGUAGCCGGCCUGAGAGGGUGACCGGCCACAUUGGGACUGAGAUACGGCCCAGACUCCAACGGGAGGCAGCAGUGGGGAAUAUUGCACAAUGGGCGGAAGCCUGAUGCAGCAACGCCGCGUGCGGGAUGACGGCCUUCGGGUUGUAAACCGCUUUCGCCUGUGACGAAGCGUGAGUGACGGUAAUGGGUAAAGAAGCACCGGCUAACUACGUG